CCGAAAGUCGUCUCUAGAAUAACACGGAUGGCGAACGGGAGGGCCGAGAAUAUGUUCCAAUCCGCGAAACGUGUGUUAUAAAAAAUUACCAGACUAAAACCUGGAAAAAUAUGGAGAAGAAUUGAUCAUGAAAAAAAGCCAAACAAAAGACCAAGAAGAACUGCAGAAUUGUCAUUGUUCCCUGCAUCCAAUAGUGUUCACAUGGAGACUGAACAGCAAUAUUUAGGUAUGUUACGUAGUGUGUGCAUGUGUGUUUGUAUUAUGAUAAAAAGCCAUCUUCUGACCUGUUUUUGUGCAGAGAAUACUAAUUUGUUAAAAAACAAAACAAACAUUACUGCUUCAAAUCAUAAAUCUUUUACAA